GGUUGUCAUAGUGAUUGUACCUUCGUACAGAUGUGGACACUGUCAAGGUCAUAUCGUGAACUUUUUGUUUCAAUCAUUCAAUUUAUCAGAACCUGCAACAGUUGCUUUUAUCCCCCUCACAUUCACCUCCCAGAUUCUGAUUAUGUGACUGCAGAGUAUGAGAAAAGGACCUUAAUAUGCACCAACGAUCUAGUUGGGCCUUGCACAAUCCUACUCCACAUUCGGUACACCAUCAGUGGUGUGAGGCUCAAGUGCUUCUUCACCAUGCCUCUCCGGCAGCUCCUCAGACAGUGGACUCAAAUCGCGCAAACAUCAGCAGCAGAUGUGGUUACUGUUAAGAACCUUGGUCUCCUUUGAAUCUGUGGAGCAACCUCAUCAUUCCUUAAGUGAUUAAGUAUUACAAGAGUCCCUCUCAUACUAGGCACCUCCAGCAAAACUCAAACUACACCCGGGUGAAUCCUUCCGGUUUGCAUCACAAUAAGUGAUGAGACUCGCAGAGGUAGGACAAAUAAAUGGAAAAAAAAUUCAAAAUGGAGUCAAAUGUGUGUAGUGUAAGCUCUCUUUUCAUCAACAUUGUCUCUAUGUCACUGGCGGUGAGAACAUAAGUUUCCCAUCACCACAGCAUACCAGCAAGCUUCAUCUUUCAUAUGACACAGUCCACAAUCCACUUACAAGAGUCUAACUCCAGUCUUCCUAACGUAAAACCCUCAUACAACCCCAUAGCGUGCAUGCCAUAACAUUUAUACAGCAUUUCUUUCCAUUGAAAAGCAAAAUGAGAUUUCCAGUUGUUUCCAUACCUAUAAUCUUUUGAUUAUUGAACUUCUCGGGUUAAGCAAAUCCUUCCAGAGCCCAAAUAUGAGCUGCUCACAGAGGUACACCUCAUUCCUAGACUAGAAUGUUUACCUCUUAAUCUUCUCACUAGCAACUUAUAGCUCCUUACAAUGUUAGUGGUGAUUGACAACCCACCCAAUCAAAAACUAUAUCUUAACUAAGAAUUACAUACCUGAGAAUUUCACCAACGUACCAGCAAAAUACAUAACUUCCUUGAUUAGAACAUUAUAGAACUAACCAGCCCCUGAAUGCCUAAGUUUUUCCAAACCAAGGAACAUAUAAGCAGAAGUAAGUCAGACUAGCAAACUAGGAAGAAUUUCAAAUCAUUCAAUAAGGAGAAACUUACCUCUGUUUACUCAUAAAGAUCCUGCGCAUCCUUAGUACCAACUUCUAAAUAUUCGCUUGUAUGAGAGACAGAUGUAAAAUGAGAAAAAUUUCAUUCAUUUUCUUCUGUUAUUUGCCAUCCAAAAUAUUUUCUUCUGUUAUUUGCCAUCCAAAAUUUUGUACCAUCUUAUCAUGCAGAAUGUUGUUAGACAAGAAUAUAAUUUAGGAAAUGCAAUAGAAGAGGCAAGAAUCGUUCCCAUACUUAUAGGGUGAGUAAACUCAUUAGAUACUUCUAGCAAUCAACUUCUACAUUAAUUAUCUCAAUAAGCUAUAUCAUCUCUCAAGUCUCAACUAUCAAGUGACACAAUGUUCUGUAAAUCUCAGAUGAUAUCAUUUGUUCCUUACUGGUUCAGCUAAACAAGCAUAGUGUGCCAUGCAUAUUUUUUUUUCUAUUCCAUCAUAGUUCUUCUAAAGUUUCAUAUGCAGAAUAGUCAUCAAUACAACAACACCCAACUAGAUAGUUGAAACACAAUGAUAGGAAGUUGUCCGGUGCGUGUAUUAUUAGAACAACAAAAGCACAAAUAUAAUUCGUGAUUUAUCUCGAUUCUUAUUAAAGGUUCAAAACCAUAGAAGCACAAUCUAUAUACCUAAUAAGUAUAUACAAUACUACCAUACCAGAUGGAUGCUGACUCAGAGAAAAUGGAUCAAACCGUUUGUUUGAGCUCAAAUCCAGAACCAGGGUCAUCAGUACUAGGAUAAACCUCAAGCCCGGUGACCAUUGCAGAAGGAGGACCACGCCGACAUCUCUGCUCCAUUUCCUGAACCGCAUCGGAAUUCCCAGAAAGCAGAGUCUCCACAGACCCAUCUCUCCUGUUCCUCACCCAACCCUUCAACCCCAAUUGGGUUGCAUUCUCUAUAGUCCAGUUCCUGUAAAACACACCCUGAACCCUCCCCUUUAUCACAAGCCUCACCUGUGCACCCAAAACCCAUCACUCCAAUUGAAUACCACACAACAACAAGGUCGAAUCCUCAUAAAUUUAAACGAAAUUUCGAUAAACAUAGAGGCGAAGUUAGUUUCAAUUAAGUAAGGUGAAAUUGUUUUGAACAAAGUUAAGCUCUUCGCCACAAAUUAACAAAAACCCAAUACUCUAAUCUGAUCAGAGAAAUGAAGACUUACCGUUUUGGUGGAGGAUUGUGGGGAUUCGGAGGCGGCCUGGGUGGUGGUCAUGAGGGUCAGAGAAGGUCGAAAGUGAGGUGAACGAGUUCUGAGCAGAGGAGAAAGAGCAGGGCGAGGUAGAAGAAGAAGAGAGCAAAGCGAAAGAGGAAGAUGAAGACGAUGAUGGUGAGGACCAGUGAAAUGGGUGAUGAAUCUAAUAGGAGAACUAGCAUUGCUGAUUUGGGUACAUUUGUUCCGAGAUGCGAGGAAUUUAAUUCCGUGUUGACAUGUCAGUGGCCUAAGUGGGAUUGCUGAUGCCAUUCGAUUUCAGAAUCUGUGGCAUUAGUACUCUGGUUUUGAUUCUUCAGGAGGUUUCUGAAGGCUGAGUCAUUGCUUCACCGUAGCUUCUAGAAAAAGCUGGGCAAUCAAAACCAGGCCCUAAGAACAACAUAUAAUCAAAAGUCAAAACCACGCCAUGACACUGGUGAUAAACUUGGGCUUUUAGUUUUAUUGCAAUAUUGGGCAU
rnacentral:lncRNA from 1 species